UUGGUUGUGAGCAGAGAAUCAAGUUAUCUGUAACAAGAGAAUCAAGUUAUCUGUAAGAAAAGGAAACUAAGUUAAGCCAUGGGUGUACUUUACUUUUAAGUCCUGAAGCCUUUACUUUAAGCACUGAUGUUGUGCAUGGAAGCUCAUGCUGGAAUACCUUUAGCUGCAUAUUACACCACAAAUAGCUUCCCUGCUACAAAAAUUAUGAAUCACUUCCAAGGUUCAAACAGUUAUUUGAAUUUACCAUCUUAUAAAACAAUGUAUAUGACCUUAAUGUAAACAUGUCUUAAAAUAGUUCAUGCACGGGCUAUAAUAACAUAUGAAGAACAGAUCCGUUCCAAGAUUCACAUGGUUUUUGAACCAUCUAUCAUAGCCAAGAAGAUUUGAAUCGCAGAAAAUGGGGCAGUACUAAGAUGCAGAUUUUCAAUAAAUCAUUGCACUGUAGUUUGAAUCCCUGUGCAGAACAAAAUUUAUGUUCAAUGAAAUCCUAUUAACCCAAUGCCAUAAUCCAAGAUAAUCUACCGAAUUGCAUUAUUGAACAUGAGAACUUAUUAUUGGAAUAUGUCAAAAAGGAGAUCAGACUCCAUCAAGAAUAGGUUAUUUAGAAAAUAAAUUACAUGUCAAUUGCAAUAAAAAAAAUCUUCAAAGAAUGUUUGACAAGACAAUUUGGCUGUCACAAAUGCCAAAUAAAUUACAGCCUAUAAAGAAAACAUCAUGUAGCUAGAGAAAAUGGACUUGAAAGAACUACGUGACAGUAAAUAGGAAAGAAGAUAGUUUAGUCGGCAAGGCACAUACAAUCGCACCAACAGGAAAGAAAUCCAUAUCCAUCGAUCAAAGUUGUUCUUCUUCUGUCGAGAUACGACGAGCGAGCUAUCUUUGAAAGAGCUACCUGACAGUAAAUAAGAAAGAAGAUAGUUUAGUCGGCAAGGCACAUACAAUCGCAACAACAGGAAAGAAAUCCAUCUCCAUCGAUCAAAGUUGUUCUUCUUCUGUCGAGAUACGACGAGCGAGCUAUCUGUAUGUAGUGGAGUACACAUACAGCGUAGUUAGUGCAGAGAUGCCCUCAUGCCCAUCGUCCAUCAAUCGACUCAAAAGAAAAGGUUCCGACCAAGCAAGCAUGAGAACCCCAACCUCUCACAGUCCACAGAAGAGCUAUAUAGCCUACAACAUAUCCUUGCUACGCAGUGCGCCCCAAACACUGACCUUUUUCAUCAGAGAAUGAACUUGUACUUUGGUAAGUGAUUAAUCACAUCCACAAGUCAGUUUUAUUCCGUGGAAUUCGAUGGCA
rnacentral:lncRNA from 1 species